GGACCUGUAGUUCAACGGUCAGAACGCGAUUCUUAUAAAAUCGAUGCAGAUGGUUCGACUCCAUCCAGGUCCA
rnacentral:tRNA from 1 species